rnacentral:rRNA from 1 species
UACGGAAGGGGGCUAGCGUUGCUCGGAAUGACUGGGCGUAAAGGGCGCGUAGGCGGCUUGUAUAGUCGGAUGUGAAAUUCCUGGGCUUAACCUGGGGGCUGCAUACGAGACGUUAUGGGCUUGAGUGCGGAAGGAGGGUCGUGGAAUUCCCAGUGUAGAGGUGAAAUUCGUAGAUAUUGGGAAGAACACCGGUGGCGAAGGCGGCGACCUGGUCCGUGACUGACGCUGAGGCGCGAAAGCGUGGGGAGCAAACAGG